rnacentral:rRNA from 1 species
GCAAGAUUAAAACUCAAAGGAAUAGACGGGGACCCGCACAAGUGGUGGAGCAUGUGGUUUAAUUCGAAGAUACGCGAAGAACCUUACCUAGCCUUGACAUAUUUUAGAACUCCGCAGAGAUGUAGAGGUGCCUUCGGGAGCUAAUUUACAGGUGCUGCACGGCUGUCGUCAGCUCGUGUCGUGAGAUGUUGGGUUAAGUCCCGCAACGAGCGCAACCCUCGCUAAUAGUUAAUAACGAUUCGGUCGAUGACUCUAUUAGGACUGCCUUCGUAAGGAGGAGGAAGGUGAGGACGACGUCAAGUCAUCAUGGCCCUUACGGCUAGGGCAACACACGUGCUACAAUGGUUGGGACAGUGAGAGGCGAUACCGUGAGGUGGAGCAAAUCUAUAAACCCAAUCUCAGUUCGGAUUGUAGUCUGCAACUCGACUACAUGAAGCUGGAAUCACUAGUAAUCGUAGAUCAGCUAUGCUACGGUGAAUACGUUCCCGGGUCUUGUACUCACCGCCCGUCACACCAUGGGAGUUGAUUUCACCCGAAGCGGGGAAGCUAAACUGGCUACCCUCCACGGUGGGAUUAGCGACUGGGGUGAAGUCGUAACAAGGUA